UUGUUUUUUUUCUAAUGAUUUACAUUCUUUACACUGAUGUUUAAACAAUACGGCCCGGAGGCCACGGUUCACAGAGGUUUGGAAUAGAUUAAGGCCAGAGGCCAAUCACUAAUGAUCCUUCCGCAGGUUCACCUACGGAAA
rnacentral:misc_RNA from 1 species